CCUACGGGACGCAGCAGUGGGGGAUAUUGCACAAUGGGGGGAACCCUGAUGCAGCGACGCCGCGUGGGUGAAGGAGCGUUUCGGCGCGUAAAGCCCUAUCGGCAGGGAAGAAGGAGGACGGUACCUGACUAAGAAGCCCCGGCUAACUACGUGCCAGCAGCCGCGGUAAUACGGAGGAUGCGAGCGUUAUCCGGAUUUAUUGGGUUUAAAGGGUGCGUAGGCGGAUCGUUAAGUCAGUGGUCAAAUUGAGGGGCUCAACCCCUUCCCGCCAUUGAAACUGGCGUUCUUGAGUGGAAGAGAAGUAU
rnacentral:rRNA from 1 species